GCGGGAGUAGCUCAGUGGCAGAGCAUCAGCUUCCCAAGCUGAAGGUCGCGGGUUCGAUCUCCGUCUCCCGCU
rnacentral:tRNA from 1 species